UACAGAGGUCUCAAGCGUUGUUCGGAUUCAUUGGGCGUAAAGGGUGCGUAGGCGGCGCGGUAAGUCGGGUGUGAAAUCUUGGAGCUUAACUCCGAAACUGCAUUCGAUACUGCCGUGCUUGAGGACUGGAGAGGAGACUGGAAUUUACGGUGUAGCGGUGAAAUGCGUAGAUAUCGUAAGGAAGACCAGUGGCGAAGGCGGGUCUCUGGACAGUUACUGACGCUGAGGCACGAAAGUCAGGGGAGCAAACGGG
rnacentral:rRNA from 1 species